AUACGGAGGGUGCGAGCGUUAAUCGGAAUUACUGGGCGUAAAGCGUGCGUAGGCGGUUAUGUAAGACAGAUGUGAAAUCCCCGGGCUCAACCUGGGAACUGCAUUUGUGACUGCAUGACUGGAGUGCGGCAGAGGGGGAUGGAAUUCCGCGUGUAGCAGUGAAAUGCGUAGAUAUGCGGAGGAACACCGAUGGCGAAGGCAAUCCCCUGGGCCUGCACUGACGCUCAUGCACGAAAGCGUGGGGAGCAAACAGGAUUAGAAACCCCUGUAGUCC
rnacentral:rRNA from 1 species